rnacentral:rRNA from 1 species
GUCAGAGUUUGAUCCUGGCUCAGAUUGAACGCUGGCGGCAUGCCUUACACAUGCAAGUCGAACGGCAGCACGGGUGCUUAGCACUGUGGCGAGUGGGCGGAACGGGUGAAGUAAUACAUCGGAACGUACCUUAUCGUGGGGGAUAACGCAGCGAAAGUUGCGCUAAUACCGCAUACGCCCUGAGGGGGAAAGCGGGGGACCGUAAGGCCUCGCGCGAUUAGAGCGGCCGAUGUCUGAUUAGCUUGUUGGUGAGGUAAAAGCUCACCAAGGCGAUGAUCAGUAGCUGGUCUGAGAGGACGAUCAG